UGCACGUAAGGUGGUGCAGGAACAAGGACUGGGCAAGACCGGUGCCAGCCGCCGCGGUAAUACCGGCAGUCCAAGUGAUGGCCGAUAUUAUUGGGCCUAAAGCGUCCGUAGCCGGCCGGACAAGUCCGUUGGGAAAUCGACCAGCUCAACUGGUCGGCGUCCAGCGGAAACUGUCCGGCUUGGGGCCGGAAGACUUGAGGGGUACGUCCGGGGUAGGAGUGAAAUCCUGUAAUCCUGGACGGACCACCAAUGGCGAAAGCACCUCAAGAAGACGGACCCGACGGUGAGGGACGAAAGCUAGGGUCUCGAACCGGAUUAGAUACCCGGGUAGUCCUAGCUGUAAACGAUGCUCGCUAGGUGUGCCGCAGGCUACGAGCCUGCGCUGCGCCGUAGGGAAGCCGAGAAGCGAGCCGCCUGGGAAGUACGUCUGCAAGGAUGAAACUUAAAGGAAUUGGCGGGGGAGCACCACAACCGGAGGAGCCUGCGGUUUAAUUGGACUCAACGCCGGACAUCUCACCGGUCCCGACAGUAGUAAUGACGGUCAGGUUGACGACUUUACCCGACGCUACUGAGAGGAGGUGCAUGGCCGCCGUCAGCUCGUACCGUGAGGCGUCCUGUUAAGUCAGGCAACGAGCGAGACCCGCAUCCGUAGUUGCCAGCAAUACCCACGUGGUAGUUGGGUACACUACGGAGACUGCCGCUGCUAAAGCGGAGGAAGGAACGGGCAACGGUAGGUCAGUAUGCCCCGAAUGGACCGGGCAACACGCGGGCUACAAUGGCUCUGACAAAGGGAUGCGACGCCGAGAGGCGAAGCUAAUCUCGAAACGGAGUCGUAGUUCGGAUUGCGGGCUGAAACUCGCCCGCAUGAAGCUGGAUUCGGUAGUAAUCGCGUGUCAGAAGCGCGCGGUGAAUUCGUCCCUGCUCCUUGCACACACCGCCCGUCAAAGCACCCGAGUGAGGUCCGGAUGAGGCCAGCAUGCGCUGGUCGAAUC
rnacentral:rRNA from 1 species